GACGAACGCUGGCGGCGUGCUUAACACAUGCAAGUCGAGCGGUAAGGCCCUUUCGGGGGUACACGAGCGGCGAACGGGUGAGUAACACGUGGGUGACCUGCCCUCAGCUCUGGGAUAAGCCUGGGAAACCGGGUCUAAUACCGGAUAUGACUCCAUGACGCAUGUUGUGGGGUGAAAGCCUUGUGCGGCUGAGGAUGGGCCCGCGGCCUAUCAGCUUGUUGGUGGGGUGAUGGCCUACCAAGGCGACGACGGUAGCCGGCCUGAGAGGGCGACCGCCCACACUGGGACUGAGACACGGCCCAGACUCCUACGGGAGGCAGCAGUGGGGAAUCUUG
rnacentral:rRNA from 1 species